UACGAAGGGGGCUAGCGUUGCUCGGAAUUACUGGGCGUAAAGGGAGCGUAGGCGGGUUAUCAAGUUGGAGGUGAAAGCCCAGGCUCAACCUUGGAAUUGCCUUCAAACUGAUAGCCUAGAGUAUGAUAGAGGUAAGUGGAACUCCGAGUGUAGAGGUGAAAUUCGUAGAUAUUCGGAAGAACACCAGUGGCGAAGGCGACUUACUGGAUCAUGACUGACGCUGAGGCUCGAAAGCGUGGGAGCAAACAGG
rnacentral:rRNA from 1 species